UAGGGAAUAUUGGACAAUGGGGGCAACCCUGAUCCAGCCAUGCCGCGUGAGUGAAGAAGGCCCUCGGGUUGUAAAGCUCUUUUGUCCGGAAAGAAAAGCUUCGGGUUAAUACCCCGGGGUUCUGACGGUACCGGAAGAAUAAGCACCGGCUAACUUCGUGCCAGCAGCCGCGGUAAUACGGAGGGUGCGAGCGUUAUCCGGAUUUACUGGGUUUAAAGGGUGCGUAGGUGGGCUUAUAAGUCAGUGGUGAAAUCUCCGAGCUUAACUUGGAAACUGCCGUUGAUACUAUAGGUCUUGAAUUAUCUGGAGGUAAGCGGAAUAUGUCAUGUAGCGGUGAAAUGCUUAGAUAUGACAUAGAACACCAAUUGCGAAGGCAGCUUACUACAUAUAAAUUGACGCUGAGGCACGAAAGCGUGGGGAUUAAACA
rnacentral:rRNA from 1 species